UACGUAGGGUGCGAGCGUUGCCCGGAUUGAUUGGGCGUAAAGGGCGCGCAGGCGGCUCGGCACGUCCGUUGUGAAAUCGCCCGGCUCAACUGGGCGGGGUCAGCGGAUACGGUCGAGCUUGAGCAAGCUAGGGGGUAAUGGAAUUCCCGGUGUAGUGGUGGAAUGCGUAGAUAUCGGGAGGAACACCAGUGGCGAAGGCGGUUACCUGGAGCUUUGCUGACGCUGAGGCGCGAAAGCGUGGGGAGCGAUCCGG
rnacentral:rRNA from 1 species